AUAUUUUUGAGGUUAAGUUUAUUUUCAAGAGUUCAAAACAAUAAAACAAAACAUUUUUAUUUUCCUAUUUCCCUCUUACAGGUUUGGAGAAGACUGGAACAAUUAUUCAUACAUUUGUAUUACUAUCAAGCAUCCCACAUACCUUAAGGAUUGUAUACUGCAUUUUGAUACAAUCUUCUUCACUAACAAUAUAGUAAAUUAUUUUUAUACAUUCUGUGUAGGAUUAAAAUAAAUAACUAUAGAAAUAAUUUAACAAAUCUUUAUAGAGCAUCUAGUGUGUGCCAGGUUUUGAAGACACAAAAAUAAAUAAAAAAUGGUCCCUGCCAUUAAGAAGUUCACAGUGUAAAGGGGCAAACACACAAAUAAAAUAGACAAUUUAAUGUCAUAUGACAGUUUUGAGAGAGGUCUAUACAAAGAACUACAAGAACAUCUAAAAAGUCACUUAAUCCAGAACAGUAGAAGUUAUGGAUUGUUUCCAGGCCAAGAUGAUAAGUUUUACAAUAGAUUUUUGCCAAGAAAAGAAUCAAUGGUGGGGAUUACUCCAGGUAUAUCAAACAGCCUGUGCAAAGGCAGAGAAGUGAGAAAAUUUUUAUGAAAUAGUUUUGUAAGACUGAACAGAAAGAUAUAGGGUGGGACAGUGGUUAGAGAACAGGCUGGAGAGGUAGGCCAGACCACAUCAUUAAAGGCCCUAUGGGCUUUAGUGGGGAAUUUUGAUUUCUACCUGUAUGCAGUCAGGAGUUUAAGUUAGGGUGACGUGCUAAAUUUGGGGUUUAACAAAGACUACACUGCUAACAGUAAAAGGAAGGAACUGGAGGCAGGAACACCAGUAAGAGGUUAUUUUAGAAAUCCCAAUGUCAAAUAAGGACAAGAAUUAAGUAAUGAGGCAGAGAUAAAGAUGGGGAAGAGGUGAAUUACUUAGAUAUUUGGAUGAUAAAAUCAAGUAAGAAUUGACUCGGCUGGACUUGGAGAAUGAUGGAGAAAAGUAAAAUAUGGUGAUUUUCUAACAGGACAUGCCAUUCACUGAGAUAGGAGUUGUAGAUGGGAUCACCAAGGAUGUUAGAGUAUAGAGACGAGAUGACAACAGGUGGAACUUUGGGGGAACACUAACAUGUAAUGAGUAGGUGAAGGAAAGCGAGUCUUUGGAGGAAACUGAGAAGACGGGUUAGAGUAGGGAAAGAAAAGUCCAAGAGACUAUAGUUCCAACCCAUGGAGGAGAGAGUUUUAAGAAGUACUUAUGUGUGUCAGUGUGAGUGUUUAUGUGUGUCAAAUAUAUUAACAAGUAGAAUGCAUCCAGUGGAUUUAGACAUUAAGUCACUUGUAAUUUGGAUACCAACAGUUUCAACCAUAUGGAGUGAUGGCCAUAUUAUAGCAGAUUAAGACUGACUGGUGAGGAAGUCAGAGUGAAAUCUAAGAUGUUAAUGUAAGCCACAAAUAAUACAUAUUUGAAAAAUGGGCAACGAAACCACAUCAGGUGGGGGUCCCAGUAUGAUGGUGAAACUCAAUUUGAAUUAAUUUAGGUAAGCAGAUAAGGAAUGGCUGGGACCAGGGUCUGGAAUAUAAUCAGGGAACAGUUUCAUCAGCAAAGAGGAAAGGGCUUCUUUCUUCCAACUUAUGAAAAGGGGGGAUUGGGUCAUGUUUCCAUCCUUGGACUAAACACGGAGGCUGGGAAAAACAGGAUAAUGUAAAAAAAAAAAAACAAGAAAACAAAAAACCCAGCUGGGUGCGGUGGC
rnacentral:lncRNA from 10 species